rnacentral:rRNA from 1 species
AAAUUACUUCUUCUGAAUUUCGCUCUCCCCAUAUAUAGAUAUGACAUCCAUAUAUACAUAGAUAUAGCAUAUCGAGCGAGGAUAGAGAGAUCAUCCGAUAGACCCAUCCCGAGCCAUCCCGCCCCCGAGGCGGGAUCGGCGCCCGCCGGAGGAUAAACAAACUCUGAUUUAACGACGUUUCUUCUGAGUGGUACAAGCAAAUAAUCAAAACUUUUAACAACGGAUCUCUUGGUUCUGGCAUCGAUGAAGAACGCAGCGAAAUGCGAUAAGUAAUGUGAAAACAGAAUUCAAAUGAAUCAUCGAAUCUUUGAACGCACAAUGCGCCCGCCAGCAUUCUGGCGGGCAUGCCUGUUCAAGCAUCAAAUCACCCUCAACUCUGCAUGGUGAAUGGGGCCCUAAGCUGAUGUGACCCUCAAAGGUAAUGACGGACCCUCCCGGACCAUCCAUUUGCAUAAAAACUUUCGUCUCGCAAUAGGGAUACAAGAAGAGUCUCAUGCCAUAAAACCCCCCAAUAAUUCCCAGGGUUGGACCUCGGAAUCAGGAAGGGACAUCCCCGCAUGAACCAUAAGCAUAUCAUUGGAGAGAGGA